rnacentral:lncRNA from 1 species
UCAAAACAUAAUUUAAAAAAGGUGUGCCACGUAGGACGCCCAAUCAGUAGCUCCAACGAAUCGGAACGCGCCGCGUGGCAAGGACACUAACGCAGUGCCACACGGGAGGCCACACAGGCGAUCUGUGUGUUCACGAUUAGACGGCCCAGAUUCGCUCCCACGCGCAUGGACGGCCCAGAUGCAUUCUCUCCCCAAACGCAAUCAGACAGUCUGAUUUAAACGCGAUCAACAGUCCAUAUCAACUUCCUAUUUAAACACGAUUGGACAAUCCAUAUCAGAUCCUGAUGAACGGUCGUGAUCGGACAGUCCAGAUCAAAUGCAAUGGAUGGCCCCGAUUAAAAGGGGAUGGAAAUAAAUAACUCUCUUCACACCAAGCUCUAACUGUAGCCGCCAAACACCCUCACUGGAGAAAAAGAACUAGCACCGGGAAGGAGAGCCCCGCCACCCGCCGCCGCACCGGAGCCACUUUCGACCGCCAAAAGAGGUAAAAAUUUUCUCA